rnacentral:rRNA from 1 species
GACGAACGCUGGCGGCGUGCUUAACACGUGCAAGUCGAACGGAAAGGCCUCUUUCGGGGGGUACUCGAGUGGCGAACGGGUGAGUAACACGUGAGUAACCUGCCCUUGACUUUGGGAUAACUUCAGGAAACUGGGGCUAAUACCGGAUAGGAGCUCCUGCUGCAUGGUGGGGGUUGGAAAGUUUCGGCGGUUGGGGAUGGACUCGCGGCUUAUCAGCUUGUUGGUGGGGUAGUGGCUUACCAAGGCUUUGACGGGUAUCCGGCCUGAGAGGGUGGCCGGCCACAUUGGGACUGAGAGACGGCCCAGACGCCUACGGGAGGCGGAAGUGGGGAAUAUUGCACAAUGGGUGGAAGCCUGAUGCAGCAACGCCGUGUGCGGGAUGACGGCCUUCGGGUUGGAAACCGCUUUCGCUCAUGACGAAGCUUUGUGUGACGGUAGUGGGUAAAGAAGCACCGGCUAACUACGUG